GAUGAACGCUGGCUACGCUUCAAACAUGCACGACGCGGGACCGGCGCACGGGUGAGUAACACGUAUCCAACCUGACCCUUAAUCGGGGAAAGCCUUUAGAACGAAAGAUUAAUACCACAUAUAAAGGAUGGGGAUGCGUUGCAUUAGUUUGUUGGUGAGGUAACGGCCCACCAAGCCUUCGAUGGAUAGGGGUUCUGAGAGGAAGGUCCCCGACAUUGGAACUGAGACACGGUCCAAAAUCCUACGGGAGGCAGCAGGGAGGAAUAUUGGUCACUGGGCGGUAGCCUGAACCAUCCAAGUAGCGUGAAGGAUGAAGGCUUAUGGGUCGUAAACUUCUUUUAUAGAAGAAUAUGUAUUAUAUGAAUAAGGAUCGGCUAACUCCGUGCCAGCAGCCGCGGUAAUUC
rnacentral:rRNA from 1 species